GUUUUAGUAGCACGCUCAAGACCCGAAGCGGAGUGAUCUAGCCAUGGGCAGGUUGAAGCGGCUGUAAGAGGUCGUGGAGGACCGAACCCACCAGGGUUGAAAACCUGGGGGAUGACCUGUGGUUAGGGGUGAAAGGCCAAUCAAACUCCGUGAUAGCUGGUUCUCCCCGAAAUGCAUUUAGGUGCAGCGUCGUGUGUUUCUUGCCGGAGGUAGAGCACUGGAUAGGCGAUGGGCCCUACCGGGUUACUGACCUUAGCCAAACUCCGAAUGCCGGUAAGUGAGAGCGCGGCAGUGAGACUGUGGGGGAUAAGCUCCAUGGUCGAGAGGGAAACAGCCCAGAGCAUCGACUAAGGCCCCUAAGCGUACGCUAAGUGGGAAAGGAUGUGGAGUCGCACAGACAACCAGGAGGUUGGCUUAGAAGCAGCCACCCUUGAAAGAGUGCGUAAUAGCUCACUGGUCUAGUGAUUCCGCGCCGACAAUGUAGCGGGGCUCAAGCGUACCGCCGAAGUCGUGUCAUUGCAGCAAUACGGCCAACGCCGGCUGUGAUGGGUAGGGGAGCGUCGUGUGCCGGGUGAAGCAGCCGCGGAAGCGAGUUGUGGACGGUUCACGAGUGAGAAUGCAGGCAUGAGUAGCGAUACAAACGUGAGAAACGUUUGCGCCGAUUGACUAAGGGUUCCUGGGUCAAGCUGAUCUGCCCAGGGUAAGUCGGGACCUAAGGCGAGGCCGACAGGCGUAGUCGAUGGAUAACCGGUUGAUAUUCCGGUACCCGCUGUGAAGCGUCAAACAUCGAGCAUCGUGAUGCUAAGGCCGUGAAGCCGCCCUGAUCUCUUCGGAGUUGAGGGGAGUGGUGGAGCCGCCGAACCAAGCGGUUAGUAGGUGAGUGAUGGGGUGACGCAGGAAGGUAGUCCAUCCCGGGCGGUGGUUGUCCCGGGGUAAGGGUGUAGGCCGGUGUGUAGGUAAAUCCGCACACCUUGUGGCUGAGACCUGAUGCCGAGCCGAUUGUGGUGAAGUGGAUGAUCCUAUGCUGUCGAGAAAAGCCUCUAGCGAGUUUCAUGGCGGCCCGUACCCUAAACCGACUCAGGUGGUCAGGUAGAGAAUACCGAGGCGUUCGGGUGAACUAUGGUUAAGGAACUCGGCAAAAUGCCCCCGUAACUUCGGGAGAAGGGGGGCCACACCUGGUGACGAGUUUUGCACUCUGAGCUGGGGGUGGCCGCAGAGACCAGCGAGAAGCGACUGUUUACUAAAAACACAGGUCCGUGCGAAGCCGUAAGGCGAUGUAUACGGACUGACGCCUGCCCGGUGCUGGAACGUUAAGGGGACCGGUUAGUCACAUUUCGGUGUGGCGAAGCUGAGAACUUAAGCGCCAGUAAACGGCGGUGGUAACUAUAACCAUCCUAAGGUAGCGAAAUUCCUUGUCGGGUAAGUUCCGACCUGCACGAAUGGCGUAACGACUUCUCGACUGUCUCAACCAUAGGCCCGGUGAAAUUGCACUACGAGUAAAGAUGCUCGUUUCGCGCAGCAGGACGGAAAGACCCCGGGACCUUUACUACAGUUUGAUAUUGGUGUUCGGUUCGGCUUGUGUAGGAUAGCUGGGAGACUUUGAAGCUCGCACGCCAGUGUGGGUGGAGUCGUCGUUGAAAUACCAGUCUGGUCGUGCUGGAUGUCUAACCUGGGUCCGUGAUCCGGAUCAGGGACAGUGUCUGAUGGGUAGUUUAACUGGGGCGGUUGCCUCCUAAAGAGUAACGGAGGCGCCCAAAGGUUCCCUCAGCCUGGUUGGCAAUCAGGUGUUGAGUGUAAGUGCACAAGGGAGCUUGACUGUGAGACCGACGGGUCGAGCAGGGACGAAAGUCGGGACUAGUGAUCCGGCGGUGGCUUGUGGAAGCGCCGUCGCUCAACGGAUAAAAGGUACCCCGGGGAUAACAGGCUGAUCUUCCCCAAGAGUCCAUAUCGACGGGAUGGUUUGGCACCUCGAUGUCGGCUCGUCGCAUCCUGGGGCUGGAGUCGGUCCCAAGGGUUGGGCUGUUCGCCCAUUAAAGCGGUACGCGAGCUGGGUUUAGAACGUCGUGAGACAGUUCGGUCCCUAUCCGCUGUGCGCGUAGGAGUCUUGAGAAGGGCUGUCCCUAGUACGAGAGGACCGGGACGGACGAACCUCUGGUGUGCCAGUUGUCCUGCCAAGGGCAUGGCUGGUUGGCUACGUUCGGGAGGGAUAACCGCUGAAAGCAUCUAAGCGGGAAGCCUGCUUCGAGAUGAGGACUCCCACCCCCUUGAGGGGUUAAGGCUCCCAGUAGACGACUGGGUUGAUAGGCCGGAUCUGGAAGCACCGUGAGGUGUGGAGGUGACCGGUACUAAUAGGCCGAGGGCUUGUCCUCAGUUGCUCGCGUCCACUGUGUU
rnacentral:rRNA from 1 species